GGGUGUAUAGCUCAGCUGGUAGAGCAUCUGCCUUACAAGCAGGAGGUCAUAGGUUCGAAUCCUAUUGCACCCACCA
rnacentral:tRNA from 1 species